rnacentral:lncRNA from 1 species
CAGAGGUCCUCAGGCAGACUGCUGCACAGGGGAACAGUGAAGUCAUAGCCCCCAGGCACUACUGCAUUGUCAGGUGAAUCAAAUUCAAGAGGAUUAAAUAGCACAGUAUGCAAAAUUCUUGCUCCCUCAAUCCCUUCUGAUUUCCGGUUCUCAGGAAAAAUCAGCAGCCAGCUGCUGACAAGACCAGGAUUAGAACUCCCUGACUGGACACAUAGGAGACUUUGCUAUAAAAAUGUGAUGAGGAGAGGAAGUAAUUGCAUAAUCUACAUUUGGCCUGGCAGUCAGCCUUCUGACCUACAAACUUACAUGAUCCACUUCCAAUAAGUCAGGAAGAAAAGGUGGCAGAAGAACCUGUUCAAGAAGACUCACAUAUGAAGCUCAGUUGCAAGAAGUAUUGAACUCARUCAAGACAACAGCACGUACAGGCUCAGGAUCACAUUCCUCUCACUUCCCAGUUAACAGUUUUAUUACUUUGUACCAUAUACUUAAAGAAUAACAAAGACUCAAAUCUGUGGAUAAUUGAACUAAAAGAAAGUAUCCAAACUGAGCAAGCCCCUAUGAGACCCUAGUGAAAGUUCAAGACUCAGUCCCUGAGAAACCAG